rnacentral:rRNA from 1 species
UAGGGAAUAUUAGUAAUGGGCGAAAGCCUGAACUAGCAACACCGCGUGUGCGAAGAAGGCCUUCGGGUUGUAAAGCACUUUUUGAGAGGAUGAGGAAGGACGGUACUCUCAGAAUAAGUCUCGGCUAACUACGUGCCAGCAGCCGCGGUAACACGUAGGAGGCAAACGUUAUCCGGAUUUACUGGGCGUAAAGCGCGUGUAGGUGGUUUGGUAAGUAGAGCGUGAAAGCUCCUGGCUCAACUGGGAGAGGUCGUUCUAAACUGUCAGACUUGAGAGUGGUAGAGGGAGGUGGAAUUCCGGGUGUAGUGGUGAAAUGCGUAGAUAUCCGGAGGAACACCAGUGGCGAAAGCGGCCUCCUGGCCCAUUUCUGACGCUCAGACACGAAAGCUAAGGUAGCAAACA